rnacentral:misc_RNA from 1 species
UUGACAGAGUUCUCACUCAGAAACGACUCAGUGGACCGGGUUCGUCACCACCCACGUGUAGAUCCAAGUGCGGGAAGUGUUCGCCAUGUGAACCAGUUCAUGUGCCGAUUCAACCUGGUUUUAGUAUUCCAUUAGAGUAUUACCCGGAGGCUUGGAGAUGCAAGUGUGGAAACAAGCUGUUCAUGCCUUAAUAAAAAUAAAAAAGAGCUGCUCUUUGUUAUGUUGCUAUUUGGGUAACUAUUGGUUCUCGAAGGAGGUGGUGCCUUUCCAUGCUUGCAUUAUGAAAAUUUUGCCACAGGACAAGGAACUUUGGGAAUGUAGGUUGUAGAGGUGAGAUUACCAAGAGAGAUCUCUCCUCAUCUCUCUCUCUCUUGUUAAUGAUCCCUUUUUCUUUCACUUGCAUUGAUGCAAAGUUUAUUAUGAGACAGAUUGGAAUUAAG